CCAAUAGCGUAUAUUAAAGUUGUUGCAGUUAGAAAGCUCGUAGUUGAAUUUCGGGGUUAGUAGGUUGGUCAUGCCUCUGGUAUGUACUGGUCUCACUGAUUCCUCCUUCCUGAUGAACCUUAAUGCCAUUAAUUUGGUGUUUUGGGGAAUUUGGACUGUUACUUUGAAAAAAUUAGAGUGUUUAAAGCAAGCUAACGCUUGAAUACAUUAGCAUGGAAUAAUGAAAUAGGACGUUCGAUCCUAUUUUGUUGGUUUCUAGGAUUGACGUAAUGAUUAAUAGGGAUAGUUGGGGGCAUUAGUAUUCAAUUGUCAGAGGUGAAAUUCUUGGAUUUAUUGAAGACUAACUACUGCGAAAGCAUUUGCCAAGGAUGUUUUCAUUAAUCAAGAACGAAAGUUAGGGAAUCGAAGACGAUCAGAUACCGUCGUAGUCUUAACCAUAAACUAUGCCGACUAGGGAUCGGAUGAUGUUAAUUUUUUAAUGACUCAUUCGGCGCCUUACG
rnacentral:rRNA from 1 species